rnacentral:rRNA from 1 species
AGAGUUUUAUCCUGGCUCAGGAUGAACGCUAGCGGCAGGCCUAACACAUGCAAGUCGAGGGGCAGCGGGGGUGAAGGCAACUUUACCCGCCGGCGACCGGCGCACGGGUGAGUAACGCGUAUGGAACCUGCCCGCCACAGGGGAAUAAUCGGGAGAAAUCCCGUCUAAAGCCCCGUAUGCCCACGAGUCCGCAUGGACUUGCGGGGAAACCUUCGGGGGUGGCGGAUGGCCAUGCGUCGCAUUAGCUAGUUGGCGGGGCAACGGCCCACCAAGGCGACGAUGCGUAGGGGUUCUGAGAGGAAGGUCCCCCACAUUGGUACUGAGACACGGGCCAAACUCCUACGGGAGGCAGCAGUGAGGAAUAUUGGUCAAUGGGCGGGAGCCUGAACCAGCCAAGCCGCGUGAGGGAAGACGGUCCUGCGGAUUGUAAACCUCUUUUGUCGGGGAACAACGGGCGCCACGUGUGGCGCAUUGAGGGUACCCGAAGAAAAAGCAUCGGCUAACUCCGUGCCAGCAGCCGCGGUAAUACGGAGGAUGCGAGCGUUAUCCGGAUUUAUUGGGUUUAAAGGGUGCGCAGGCGGUCUUUCAAGUCGGCGGUCAAAUUUCGGGGCCCAACCCCGACCUGCCGUCGAAACUGAGAGGCUGGAGUUCGGCAGAGGCUGGCGGAAUGUGCGGUGUAGCGGUGAAAUGCAUAGAUAUCGCGCAGAACUCCGUUUGCGAAGGCGGCCAGCCAUGCCUGGACUGACGCUGAGGCACGAAAGUGUGGGUAUCGAACAGGAUUAGAUACCCUGGUAGUCCACACAGUAAACGAUGAAUACUUGCUGUCCGGGCCGAAUGGGGCCUGGGUGGCGCAGCGAAAGCGUUAAGUAUUCCACCUGGGGAGUACGCCGGCAACGGUGAAACUCAAAGGAAUUGACGGGGGCCCGCACAAGCGGAGGAACAUGUGGUUUAAUUCGAUGAUACGCGAGGAACCUUACCCGGGCUCAAACGCAGGGGGACAGCCGGUGAAAGCCGGUUUCCGGCAACGGCCGCCUGCGAGGUGCUGCAUGGUUGUCGUCAGCUCGUGCCGUGAGGUGUCGGCUUAAGUGCCAUAACGAGCGCAACCCCCGUCUCCGGUUGCUAACGGGUAGAGCCGAGGACUCCGGAGAGACUGCCGGCGCAAGCUGCGAGGAAGGCGGGGAUGACGUCAAAUCAGCACGGCCCUUACGUCCGGGGCGACACACGUGUUACAAUGGCGGGGCACAGCGGGGUGCUGGUCGGCGACGGCCGGCGGAUCCCGAAAACCCGUCUCAGUUCGGAUUGGAGUCUGCAACCCGACUCCAUGAAGCUGGAUUCGCUAGUAAUCGCGCAUCAGCCACGGCGCGGUGAAUACGUUCCCGGGCCUUGCACACCCGCCCGUCA